rnacentral:rRNA from 1 species
UAGGGAAUCUUCGGCAAUGGACGAAAGUCUGACCGAGCAACGCCGCGUGAGUGAAGAAGGCUUUCGGAUCGUAAAACUCUGUUGUUAGAGAAGAACAAGGACGUUAGUAACUGAACGUCCCCUGACGGUAUCUAACCAGAAAGCCACGGCUAACUACGUGCCAGCAGCCGCGGUAAUACGUAGGUGGCAAGCGUUGUCCGGAUUUAUUGGGCGUAAAGCGAGCGCAGGCGGUUUCUUAAGUCUGAUGUGAAAGCCCCCGGCUCAACCGGGGAGGGUCAUUGGAAACUGGGAGACUUGAGUGCAGAAGAGGAGAGUGGAAUUCCAUGUGUAGUGGUGAAAUGCGUAGAUAUAUGGAGGAACACCAGUGGCGAAGGCGGCUCUCUGGUCUGUAACUGACGCUGAGGCUCGAAAGCGUGGGGAGCAAACAGG